rnacentral:rRNA from 1 species
UAGGGAAUCUUCGGCAAUGGGGGCAACCCUGACCGAGCAACGCCGCGUGAGUGAAGAAGGUUUUUCGGAUCGUAAAGCUCUGUUGUAAGUCAAGAACGGGUGUGAAAGUGGAAAGUUCACACUGUGACGGUAGCUUACCAGAAAGGGACGGCUAACUACGUGCCAGCAGCCGCGGUAAUACGUAGGUCCCGAGCGUUGUCCGGAUUUAUUGGGCGUAAAGCGAGCGCAGGCGGUUUGAUAAGUCUGAAGUUAAAGGCUGUGGCUCAACCAUAGUUCGCUUUGGAAACUGUCAAACUUGAGUGCAGAAGGGGAGAGUGGAAUUCCAUGUGUAGCGGUGAAAUGCGUAGAUAUAUGGAGGAACACCGGUGGCGAAAGCGGCUCUCUGGUCUGUAACUGACGCUGAGGCUCGAAAGCGUGGGGAGCGAACAGGAUUAGAUACCCUGGUAGUCCACGCCGUAAACGAUGAGUGCUAGGUGUUGGAUCCUUUCCGGGAUUCAGUGCCGCAGCUAACGCAUUAAGCACUCCG